rnacentral:rRNA from 1 species
UACGGGGGGGGUAAGCGUUGUUCGGAAUUACUGGGCGUAAAGGGCUCGUAGGCGGCCAACUAAGUCAGACGUGAAAUCCCUCAGCUUAACUGGGGAACUGCGUCUGAUACUGGAUGGCUUGGAUUCGGGAGAGGAAUGCGGAAUUCCAGGUGUAGCGGUGAAAUGCGUAGAUAUCAGGAGGAACACCGGUGGUGUAGACGGCUUUCUGGACCGUAACUGACGCUGAGACACGAAAGCGUGGGUAGCAAACAGG